UGGGGAAUAUUGCGCAAUGGGCGAAAGCCUGACGCAGCGACGCCGCGUGAGGGAUGAAGGCCUUCGGGUUGUAAACCUCUUUCAGCAGGGACGAAGCGUGAGUGACGGUACCUGCAGAAGAAGCGCCGGCUAACUACGUGCCAGCAGCCGCGGUAAUACGUAGGGCGCAAGCGUUGUCCGGAAUUAUUGGGCGUAAAGAGCUCGUAGGCGGUUUGUCGCGUCUGUCGUGAAAGCCCAGGGCUUAACCCUGGGUCUGCGGUGGAUACGGGCAGACUAGAGGCAGGUAGGGGAGAACGGAAUUCCCGGUGUAGCGGUGAAAUGCGCAGAUAUCGGGAGGAACACCGGUGGCGAAGGCGGUUCUCUGGGCCUGUACUGACGCUGAGGAGCGAAAGCGUGGGGAGCGAACAGGAUUAGAUACCCCUGUAGUCC
rnacentral:rRNA from 1 species